rfam:Canis lupus familiaris chromosome 26, whole genome shotgun sequence.
GCCUGAGUGGCUCAGUGGUUGAGCGUCUGCCUUCGGCUCAGGGUGUGAUCCUGGAGUCCUGGGAUCGAGUCCCACAUCAGGCU